GGGGUUAUAUAAACCGAUUCACAAAUAGAUCUCCUUGCGCUCAAAUGUAAUUCUUAGUGAAGUAUACGGGUAAAUUCGUUUACGGAAUUUAUACACACUUUAUCAUUAAUAUAUUACCAGGCUUUUGCAUAUUCACGUUUUUUUUAUGAUCAACUUUAGUCAAAUUCAAUUCUAUACAUUUUUUUUUACGUAAAGCAAUAGGAGUAAGAAUAUUAUUUCG
rnacentral:lncRNA from 1 species